rnacentral:rRNA from 1 species
GGCGAACGCUGGCGGCGUGCUUAACACAUGCGAGUCGAACGAUGACGAAAAGAAUCGUUGCUUCGGCAGAAAUUCAUUUCGGAAUGGUGGCAGACGGGUGAGUAACGCGUGAGCAACUGGCCUCUUACAAAGGGAUAGCCUCGGGAAAACGGGAUUCAUCCCAUAUAACAUUGCGACGAAGCAUUUCGCUGCAAUCAAAGCUAGGGCGGUAAGAGGUGGGCUCGCGUCGCAUUAACCGGAUGGUGCGGUAACGGCGCACCAUAGUGACGCUGGGUAAACGGGCUGAGAGGGAGGGCGGUCACACCUAAACUGAGACACGGUCCAGACUCCUACGGGAGGCAGCAGAGGGUGAUAUAGCACAAUCGAGUGAGCGCUGAAGCAGCGAGGCCGCGUAAGUGAUGAAGUAAGGCGUGAAGUGAAGCUCGUUUCUAUGGGAAGAAAAUGACGGUACCAAAGGAGAAAGCGCCGGCUAAAUACGUG